rnacentral:lncRNA from 1 species
UAUGCAACAAGCCCUUCCUUAGUCUGUGUGGUCUGAGAAAAAGGCUUUUGAUGUUAUGAGGCAGCAGAGACUUGCAGGAGGAGGCUAGGGUACAACCCUUGCCAUCAGUUCUCCUAGGCUUCCACCUGCACUGCCUCUCAGGUGGCUGGGGAUUGGGCCCUGAGAGAAAAAGGGUGUGGAGGAAGUGCUAUCUAUCUCUGCACCUCCACCCUGUUUCCCUGUCACCUUCCCAAGCUGAGGACCACCCCGCCCUCGCCCCCCAACAAUCCAUGAGAGAUGGCUGCUGGGGACGGAGUGAUGCUCUUUCUUGCUGUGACCUCCUUAUCCCAACUCCUGCUGACCUUGGAGACCUGAAGAGUUACUUUCCUUACAAUCCUGAACUUCCAACUCCAAACCUAACCCUGCAUGCAGGUCACUGUCUUCGUGGAAAUCUACAGGGUGAGCUCCCCAGUCUUGUCCACCAUGCUUGUGUGUCUGAUAGGGCUUCAUGGCCUGGAUCUUGGCUACUCAGACUAGCAUCUGCCUGAGACCCUGGCAGCGCAACAGCAAUAACUACCCUUUGUAGAGCCCAAAUUCUGUAUUAAGCACUUAAUGUAAUUAAGUCAUUUAAUCAUCACAAAAGAAGAUAGAGAUUACAAUGAUUAUCCCAUUUUACAACUGAGAUAACUGAGGCACAGAGAAAUUAAGUAGCAUGCCCAAGGUCACCAUGAGUAAGUGGCACAGCUUGGAUUCAAAUCCAGCAGUCUGAUUCCAGAGCCCACAGUCCUGAGGCCUCUGCUAUGCUGCCUUCACUCUCCCAUGCUCUUGUGAUGUUUGUUGGGCUAAUUGAGACAGGGCCCAGUGUAGUGGAAGUGGGGAAGGUGGCUACACUGAAAGUUAAACACCAGAUCCCCCUUUGGGGUCCCCCAGGUCAGAGACAGUGAGUGGGAGUUGAGCAGGGUGACACUCCGUAUCUAGGAAGGGGGAAACAUGGCCUUCACCUUCUCCAAUUCCGGACCUUUGUUUUCUGCAGUGGGAGGCCCUGCAGCUAGACAGCCCUUCCCCGUUGAGAAGAGGGGAGGCAAGGGAAAGGCUGAAAAAUCCGCCUAGAAGCCCAAGUGAGCAGAGUCGGAGCUAGGACCCGAAGAGGCCGAUAGAUGGCGCUCAUGGCCCAACACAGCUCCAGCAGCCCGAGGAAACCAAAGGAAAACAAGUGAGCAGGUUAACCCCUUCCCUCCUGGGCUCAGGACAGAGUUGCUGGCUGGUGGGUAUGCAGGGAGCACUGCCCCAGGCCCGGUGCCUCAACUCUCUAGGCUCUUACCCAGGCGAUAAUCUGGGUCAUCUUCUGUUCCUGCCCAACAAGGCUUUACCCAUAAAUCAUGGUCAGCAGCCUCCUGAAGACUUCCCAGAAGACAUGAAGACUAAUAAAUGGAAGACACUGGUUGGGAGAGCUGCACCCAAGCCCAUGUUUCGUCUCUUGGGCUCUAUCUCUUGAAAGCCUCAGGGUCUCUGUUUCUAAGCACCCCUACUUCAGGAGAG